UGACAUAAGUGCAGUGUGAUCAUCAUCUGCGAAGUCAGUAAUUUGCAAGGAGGCCAAGACACGUUGGCUGUCUGUCUUGCCUCCAGCUGUUUGUGCUCUGUCAGCAAGAAGCUGCAUCUCGUCAGUAACGCAGGAAAAGAAAGGUUAGCCGCCUCUUCUGAGCGAGUCGCUGAUGUUUGUUUUAGGCGAGAUGAAACCACCACGUUUUUCUAUCCUCAAAUGAUGCUUUGCCUCCACUCUGAAUUUCACCAACACUGCUGCAAUGGCAACGUUUAAACUGACUAGAAAUGGAAGAGAUGAAAUAAAUACUGAGAAGACCUCCUAGGAGAAGCCUGCUUGUACUUGCAGUCACUGAGGGAAAGUGGGAGAGACUGAGUCUCUCUGGUGGGGCUGGUUACAAGGACUGCCAAGAAUACAGUCGUGUUGCAUCUCACCAGGAUCGUGAUCGCUGCUCAAGCAGGAAAAUCCAGUGCUAUCAGCUCUUCAGUUUGUAAACCGGUGUUUGUCUUUCCCUUUAAGCUCUGCUAAAGCGUGCUCCCACUGAAAGGCUGUUCAGCAUUGCUGAGGCUGUUGAAUUUUACGAUGGAUAAAUCAGCUUCUGCCAGGAAAUGCAGAAAGGCUGGAGUGUGUCUUUAUGAAAAAAAUUUUGCCACUUCUGGUUGAAGUGCUACUGCUUAAUAUCAGCAGUUCUUCACUGGAUUGCUCCAGUUGCCUUAAAUAUAACUGUUUGACUACCUAGGGCAAAAAUCACUUGUAUAUCCGUUCUUUUUCCUACUCUGCUGAUGUGGAUGGUUAAUGUAUGUAAAUUGAUGUGCCACACUAUGUAAAGGCUGUUGUGAUCAAGGUCAAACUAGGAAUUUUCUUCUUUACAGAAACCUUUCCAUGUGUUGUUAUUGCAUAGAAGCUUGUUACAGUUCAAGAGUGAAUUGCUAUUUUAACUUUGUGUUCACAAAUUUCCUAUUGACUCCAGCCAUCAGCUGUCACUUUUGGGAUAUAUUUCAGUGCAAUACACUGGACUUAAAAAUUCAGUCCACCUAGACAGGCCUUAACCAUUCAGCUUAGGCUCCCCAGUGUUACUGCGACACAGGCAAGAAUAGAGCAAAUCUGAAUCUACAACUGCUUCCAAGUCUCUUAAACUUCUUGCCCACACCAAGGUGUGUCUCUAAGCUGGUCAUAGAACUUGGUAUGGAGCACAAAGCAUGUCAAAGAAGUGGAAUAAAUACUUCUUGUGUAACCUAGGCUGCUAGUGAUAUCCCAGCUAGUUAAAUUAAACCUCUGCAGAAUAGACUUACCUGUCUCCAUGCCUGUUAAAUGCCUGUCCUCUCUGGGUGGUGGUGAUGAAGGGCUUUUUUUCAUCUGUAAAAGGCCUCGAGUACCCUGGGCUCUGCCAGUGCUGGAGUCCAGAGGCUCACCUGCCUUUCUCCGUUCAUGACCCAUCUCCUUCCAGAACCCACGAGGCAUCGGAGGUGAAACGGCUCAGCUGUGCUUGGUUGCCGCUGCCAGUGGAACAGGAGGUGUGACAAGAAAAGGAAGCUGACUGUGUUCAGAUGAAUUAUGUCUGAAUACCAGUGCCAGUGGGAAACACUUGUGCUGUGAGUAGUUGCCGCAUGGCACCAGCUCAGGACCAGCAAAUCUUCCUUGGGCUGUUGUCCAUUUGCUUGUGUAGUCUUAACACAAGCUAGGCUCUGCAGGGUGCGUUCCUUGGGCUGAAACUCCUCCGGAUCAGUCCCAGUACAAACCCUCUCUUGCACUGGUUGUGAUGGAGGACUGAGGCAAUGUACCAGCUCACACGGAAGAUGCUGCUGGUGAAAAGCCUCACUUCUCCUUCCUUCCUCUAGAGGGGAUUGUGUUCCUGUGCAUGGCUGUUGAAGGAACCUGGCUUAAAUGAAGUUUGAAUAGCUGGAUGCAGGCUUAGAAAUGUGUUCCUGCUGGUGUAUCUGCUUAUCCGCAGCCCCCAUCCUCUCCUCUGCCUUUGACUUUCAUGCUGUGUUAAGCCUACCCCAUGCGAAUUCCUCUCCCCCAACCACACACACGUCCUCCUUUGAUUUCACUUGCUACCUUAUGAUUUUGGCUCUGGCUGAGUGCACCAGGCUGGAUGGAGGCAGUUUAAAACUCAAGCUGUAAUAAAUACCAGGUUCUAAGCUGGUAUGCUAACCCCUGUUAUCCUGGCUUUUUUCUGUUAAACCAGUGUAACAGCCCUUUCUUUACAACAAGGAAGCAGCAGACUCGUGGUGUGGAGCUGGGACAGGACAGGACUGUCCUCUCCAUCACUCCUGAUACACGUGUGGCUGAGAAAUAGCCAAUGGUUCUCUCGUGAUAGGAUUACACUUAUCCUGCCAGGAGCCGUUCCUGUGGCUGUGUUCAGUGAAGGCUAAUUGUAACAAAAUUAGCACAUUCCCAUUACAGCAUGAGACUGGAGACUUUCCCACUGCUGAAGCUUGAGGGUUUCUCCUCUGGGAGAAAUGCGGGUCUGAGAUUGGGCACCGCGUGUACUGUGCAGCAUCUGACAUGACCCAGACCCAGGUUGGGGUUUCCAGGCUGUGCUGGAGAGCUGUGAGUGCAGCUCUCCAGUCUGCUCCAUACUGGGAGGCUUUUGUGGAGCUGGAGCAGCAGAGGUGCAUCUCGCAGACCCCUGGAGCAGGGACUGGGAAGUCUCCAUGUCCCCAUCGGAGCGGUCUGCAACUCCUGACUUUGAUCUUAAAAAACACGUUGAAGAGCCUCACCCUUAGUUAGCGUGAAUGGAGGGAAUUGAACUCAUCUUGGCCUGCUUCGAAGUCUCACACCCAAGCACUGGUAUGGGAGCUGAAAGUUAAGGACUAUUGAAAGUUUUUAAUGUUUCUUCUAAUAGCUGUUGAGGAACGGGGAAGUGAAGAUGACGCAGGGUCCGUGUCUUGUUGCAGAAGAGUGUUUCUUUUGUUGUUCUUUGUUUCUUUUUUUUUUUUUUCCCAAUGAAAACUUUUAUUAGUUUGCUAUGAAGGUGAGAAUUUGGUGAUGUUUUCAUUAAAGCUGCAGGUCCUGAAGCAAUGCAGUUGUGGGAAAAUUUCAUUUUUCAGGGUUUUAGUGUUGGUGGGGUUUUUUUGUUUUGGGGUUUUUUUUUUUUUUGCAAGCUAAAGUACUAUUCCUUGUAGUUUUGGAGAACUGUGACUAAGCUGUAAUUGUUUAAAAUUUGAAGGGAAACAAAGAUGCCCCUAUUUGCUAUUUUGAGGCCAGCCAGAUUAUUUUGACUUACAUUUGACUGCUUGGGGUUAGCAGUUCUUCUUUUCUGUGGAAAGAAGCAAUAUAUAUUGCUCUUCCAUCCAAAUUUAUUUUCUGGAACAAAACGAAGGACACUCAAUGACAUGAGAGCUCCAGCUUCGAUUUAUAACUGGCUAAUAAGAAAUUGCUGAAUAAUGUGCUCAUUUUCUGCCACUCGAAAGUAAUAAAUCUUCCCAAACUUCUCGGGCUCUAAGGACGCUGCUGUCCAGUCUCAUUAUCGGCUUCCAACACAGAAACGAAGGAGUCUUCGUGGUGCAACACACUUCCCUGGUGCACAGCAAUCUCAAGGCUGGCUUUAAUGCUACGACACCAUUCCCCUGGGUGCUGAUGAGAGAUCUCCAUGCAAGGCCUGGAUCCUUGCUCUGAUGUGGACCAGGAGCAGAUGCCAGGGAAAGAGGAUAAGAAACGGAAGACAUUUAAUAUCCAAUGAACAAAACAGCAGCAGUUUCUCCCUAGUUGAAGGGAAGAAUACCUGUCCCAGAAAUAAUGCAGAGGGGGAAUGCCUGGUGUCUGGUGCACCUCCACAGUGAGAGGACACAGUCAUGGCAUCGGCCAGAGCAGCAGGCGAAUCCUCUCAACCCAUUACGCUCAUAACAAGGUGACAUUAACAUUACAUCAUUCUGCUUUUAGCUCUGUGCUAUUGUUUCUACCAUCGAAAGCAGCCCUGCGCACACAGUGGGUGCAGGAAAGCAGCUGCCUACAGGUGCCGUUGUUUGGCAAACUCCAAAUUAACCACGAGCUAGGAGAAAGGAUGGAGCCUGCGGUGACUCUGCAGGCUGGAUGGCUCGGGGAAUGAUGGAUGGGAGUCAGACUUCAGCUCUGAGGACGAACACAGUGCCCUGCUGUGUGCGGGCAGGCUGCGGGAGCCGGCUGCCUGUGCUGUGAUGGGGGGAAUGGUGGGACGGGCAGGUUUUGGGGAGCUCUCCCCAUGUCAUGCGUUCACCUUACAAAUGAAAGAUGCUGCAGCGGUGGGCAGGGACAAGCCCUGCCCGCCCCAGGAGCACCUGAAAGGGUCUUUUGCCGAGGCUGGCACGGACACACCGGCAUCAGCGACGUUGGAGCGGGCUCCAGGAGACAUUCUGAGAGCUGCC